rnacentral:rRNA from 1 species
UACAGAGGUCCCAAGCGUUACUGAGAAUCACUGGGUUUAAAGGGUGCGUAGGUGGUCCGUUAAGUCAGUUGUGAAAUCCCCGGGCUCAACCCGGGAAAUGCUUCUGAUACUGGCGGACUUGAGGCCAGUAGGGGUCACUAGAACUGACGGUGGAGCGGUGAAAUGCGUAGAUAUCGUCAGGAAUGCCGGUGGUGAAGACGGGUGACUGGGCUGGUUCUGGACACUGAGGCACGAAAGCGUGGGGGAGCGAACGGG